UACGGAGGAUGCAAGCGUUGUCCGGAAUUAUUGGGCGUAAAGAGCUCGUAGGCGGUUUGUCGCGUCUGCUGUGAAAACUCGGGGCUUAACUCCGGGCCUGCAGUGGGUACGGGCAGACUAGAGUGCGGUAGGGGAGACUGGAAUUCCUGGUGUAGCGGUGAAAUGCGCAGAUAUCAGGAGGAACACCGGUGGCGAAGGCGGGUCUCUGGGCCGAUACUGACGCUGAGGAGCGAAAGCGUGGGGGAGCGAACAGG
rnacentral:rRNA from 1 species